AUACGAAGGGGGCUAGCGUUGUUCGGAAUUACUGGGCGUAAAGCGCGUGUAGGCGGAUUGGUCAGUUAGGGGUGAAAUCCCAGGGCUUAACCCUGGAACUGCCUCUAAUACUGCCAGUCUUGAGUUCGGGAGAGGUGAGUGGAAUUCCUAGUGUAGAGGUGAAAUUCGUAGAUAUUAGGAAGAACACCAGUGGCGAAGGCGGCUCACUGGCCCGAUACUGACGCUGAGGCGCGAAAGCGUGGGGAGCAAACAGGAUUAGAAACCCUAGUAGUCC
rnacentral:rRNA from 1 species